AUGGCCUCCUCGCCCCCGCCGCCCCUUUCCCCCUCGAAGCUCCCUCCGCCGGGGCCCCCGAGUCGCUCCCCGCCGCCGCCCGAGUGGCCCUGCGCCCGCUGCACGCUCCGCAACCCGCUGAGCGCCGCCGCCUGCGCGGCGUGCGACGCCGUGCGCCCCGUGGACGUCGACGGCGCGUCGCUGGGCCUGUCCGCCGUCGUCGCCUCUUCGUCGUCUCGCCCGCUCCCGCCGGCCCAGUGGUCCUGCGCCCGCUGCACGCUCGUCAACCCCGGGAGCUCCGCCGCCUGCGCCGUCUGCGGCGCCGCGCGCCCCGUGGUCGUUGACGACGGCGACGAGCUGGACUUCUCCGCCGUCGCCGGCGCCUCGUUCCUCCCGCUCCGUCGGGACCCGAGGAACAUAGGCCGCUCUGAUGCCGCGAUGAAGUCAGCUCGCGCGCCGUCGCCGGACGCUGUCUGCGAGCGCGCCGGCUCGAACGAAAGGGAUAAGACUGCCGCCGAAAAAGUAAAUUCUGAGACUCAUUUGGAUAAGAAGACCAUCAAAGUCAUGACAUACAACGUAUGGUUUCGGGAGGAUUUGGAACUGACAAAAAGGAUGUAUGCUCUUGGAAAUCUUAUUCAGCACCACAACCCAGAUCUUAUAUGCUUCCAGGAGGUUACACCAAACAUAUAUAUGCUUCUACAAAAAUCUGGCUGGUGGCAAGAAUACAAAUGCUCGCUGUCAGCUAGGAUGGCCAUGCAGAGACAGUAUUACUGCAUGCAGAUGAGCAAGUUGCCCGUGAGUUCAUUCGAAUGCAUCCCAUUUUCCAACUCAGUCAUGGAAAGGGAGCUGUGCGUGGCAGACAUCAACAUUGGAGGCGCGACCAAGUUGGUGUUGGCCACAAGCCACCUGGAGAGCCCCUGCGCGUGGAAUCAGAUGUACAGCAAGGAACGAGUAACUCAGGCGAAUGCAUCCAUGAGGAUAUUGGACAAGUUCCGCAACGUGAUAUUCUGCGGAGACAUGAACUGGGACGACAAAGGCGACGGGCCCUUCCCUCUCUCAGACGGCUGGCUCGAUGCCUGGGCUGAGCUGAAGCCAGGUGAGGACGGCUGGACGUACGACACGAGGGCUAACGGCAUGCUGGCAGGCAACCGCAAGCUGCAGAAGAGGCUGGACCGGUUCGUGUGCAAGCUGCCGGAUUUCGAGAUCGACACCAUCGAGAUGAUCGGCAAGGAGGCGAUACCUGGGAUAUCACACUACAAGGAGAAGACAGUCCGCAAGGUAGUCCAGAACAUUGAGUAUCCUGUGUUGCCUAGCGACCACUUCGGGCUUGUUCUGAGCAUCACCUACGCAUCAUCAGGUUGA
rnacentral:rRNA from 1 species